AAGGAUCAUUACUGCUUGCUAACAGCGCCGUCCUGGGCAACCGGGGCGGUGUUGGGCAUGCUACCCUUGACUAUAUAUACCAUCUGUUAUUUCCCUCGGCAGGGCAACCUGCCGCUGGGGACAAUCAAACCCUUUUGUAUAAAGCAUCAAAACUUCUGAAACAAACAAAAUUAUUACAACUUUUAACAAUGGAUCUCUUGGUUCUG
rnacentral:misc_RNA from 1 species